AUAUACUAUCGUUAGCACGGAGGACUGAUCCAUACUACCAAGUUGUUUUCAAUGAUGCGGCUUCCAAAUCGACGAUCGGCUCCGUUAGACUUGAUCUACACUAUUAAAAAUAUUUAGAAACUAAAUUUUAUAAUUUUUCGACAUCAUUUGGCUAGUGAUCAAAAGUUCUCAAAAUUGGCAAUUUUAAUGGUAGAUAUGAUGCGUUUGUGAAUUUAACGGUGAAAAACAAUCCAAAUCUGAUGAAUUUUUUAUAGAAAAUUUUAUUCACUCUUUAGAGUAAGAUCAGUACCUCCGGUCUUAAUUUCAAGUCUUUUAUCAUCAUUUUUUCUGAGAUUUUUAUUUUCAGUCGUUCAUUUUUAGACUACUCGUUUGAUAGAUAAAUGAUACCAAAAAAUUAUGAAAUUUAGUUUCCAAUUACUUUCAAUAGUGUAGAUUAACUCUA
rnacentral:lncRNA from 1 species